GAUGAACGCUGGCGGCGUGCCUAAUACAUGCAAGUCGAGCGAAUGGAUUGAGAGCUUGCUCUUAUGAAGUUAGCGGCGGACGGGUGAGUAACACGUGGGUGACCUGCCCAUAAGACUGGGAUAACUCCGGGAAACCGGGGCUAAUACCGGAUAACAUUUUGAACCGCAUGGUUCGAAAUUGAAAGGCGGCUUCGGCUGUCACUUAUGGAUGGACCCGCGUCGCAUUAGCUAGUUGGUGAGGUAACGGCUCACCAAGGCAACGAUGCGUAGCCGACCUUAGAGGGUGAUCGGCCACACUGGGACUGAGACACGGCCCAGACUCCUACGGGAGGCAGCAGUAGGGAAUCUUCCGCAAUGGACGAAAGUCUGACGGAGCAACGCCGCGUGAGUGAUGAAGGCUUUCGGGUCGUAAAACUCUGUUGUUAGGGAAGAACAAGUGCUAGUUGAAUAAGCUGGCACCUUGACGGUACCUAACCAGAAAGCCACGGCUAACUACGUGCCAGCCGCCGCAGUAA
rnacentral:rRNA from 1 species